rnacentral:rRNA from 1 species
UAUUAUUUGAUGGCGACCAGCGCACGGGUGCGUAACACGUAUGCAAUCUGCCUCGUACUUGGGUAUAACUCCGAGAAAUCGGUGCUAAUCCCCAAUGACACUAUGAAGUGGCAUCACUUUAUAGUUAAAGCUCCGGCGGUACGAGAUGAGCAUGCGCCCAAUUAGCUAGUUGGUGAGGUAACGGCUCACCAAGGCUACGAUUGGUAGGGGUUCUGAGAGGAUGAUCCCCCACACUGGUACUGAGACACGGACCAGACUCCUACGGGAGGCAGCAGUGAGGAAUAUUGCGCAAUGGACGAAAGUCUGACGCAGCCAUGCCGCGUGAAGGAUGAAGGCCCUAUGGGUUGUAAACUUCUUUUGUACGGGAAAAAACGCUCCUACGUGUAGGAGCCUGAUGGUACCGUAAGAAUAAGCACCGGCUAACUCCGUGCCAGCAGCCGCGGUAAUACGGAGGGUGCAAGCGUUAUCCGGAUUUAUUGGGUUUAAAGGGUCCGUAGGCGGGCCGAUA